GACGAACCGUGCGAACGUUGUUCGGAAUCACUGGGCUUAAAGGGCGCGUAGGCGGGCUCGCCAGUCAGGGGUGAAAUCCCGCGGCUCAACCGUGGAAGUGCCUCUGAUACUGCGAGUCUCGAGGGAGGUAGGGGCGUGCGGAACUUCCGGUGGAGCGGUGAAAUGCGCAGAUAUCGGGAGGAACACCGGUGGCGAAGGCGGUUCUCUGGGCCUGUACUGACGCUGAGGAGCGAAAGCGUGGGGAGCGAACAGG
rnacentral:rRNA from 1 species